UCAAUACAUAGUGACUGACGACAUAAAUGGAAAUAACCAUAUGGGAGCUGUGUAUAUGUAUAGCCGGUCGUCUGGGCAGAAGGG
rnacentral:ncRNA from 2 species